UGAAUGUUGGUGUCCAUGACCUAGCUCCUC
rnacentral:piRNA from 1 species